rnacentral:SRP_RNA from 1 species
GCUGGGCAUGGUGGCACAUGCCUGUAGUCCCAGCUACUCAGGAGGCUGAGGUGGGAGAAUCGCUUGAGCCUGGGAGGUCGAGACUGCAGUGAGCCAAGAUCGUGCCACUGCAUUCCAGCCUGGGUGACACAGUGAGACCCAAUCUCUA